UUUGAUUGAUGUACAAGUAUUCCGUUAGGCAUAUGCUCAAUCUGUAAACCAAGACAAUAUUUGGUUUUUCCAAGAUCUUUCAUUUCAAACUUUUUCUUUAAAAGUUCAAUCACUUCAAGGAUUUCUUUAUUCGUUCCAAUGAUGUUUAGAUCAUCAACAUAGACAGCUAUGAUCACAUACCCAGAUGUUGUUUUCUUAAUAAAUACACAUGGACAAAUAAUGUUAUUUUUAUAACCUUUUCUUGUCAAAUAAUCUCUCAAACAAUUGUACCACAUGCGUCCAGAUUGCUUCAACCUAUACAAAGAUCUUUGUAAUUUUAUAGAUUACAUUUCUCUGGGUUUUGCACUUAAUGCUUCAGGCAUUUUAAAUCCUUCAGGGAUUUNUCUUGUCAAAUAAUAUCUCAAACAAUUGUACCACAUGCGUCCAGAUUUCUUCAACCCAUACAAAGAUCUUUGUAAUUUUAUAGAAUACAUUUCUUUGGGUUUUGCACUUAAUGCUUUGGGCAUUUUAAAUCCUUUAGGGAUUUUCAUAUAGAUAUCAUUAUCAAGUGAUCCAUACAAGUAAGCUGUAACAACAUCCAUAAGACGCAUCUCUAAAUUUUUAGAGACUGCCAAGCUAAUCAAAUAUCUAAAAGUGGUUGCAUCC
rnacentral:lncRNA from 1 species